rnacentral:lncRNA from 1 species
AAAAUAAAAUAAAAUAAAAAUCAACACAUCUUACAUCCCGAGAAUCAAGAUUCAUAAUGGUAUGUCAUUUUAAUGGGUAGCAAUAAUUAGAGUGCAAAGUCAUCAAGUUUCUUGAUGAUCAUAUCUGCAUCCUACGGGACAACGUAGUAAAUAUUGGAUAAAAGGAAAGGAAAAACUCUAAUGCCUAUUACAAUAAGGUCCUCGUUCCACUCCCAAUACGCAGAACACAAAUGCUUGAGGUGACCAAGAUAUUGCAACAUUUGAAAUCACGUCCGCAUAUUCAUUACUUUAUCUUCAAUGGAAACGCAGCACAGCUUUGAAAAACAGCUCAACAAGGAAUUAGACUUACAGAGAAUCCAACAUGUCCCAAUAAACGGAUUGUUCAAGGAUAAAAAUAUUGGAAAUAUGCAGGUAAUACGUAGGUACAACUACGUAUAAAAAUAUUGGUCAAAAUGUGAUCGAUAAAAUAUAGCUGCUUAACUUAUAUCCCACUGUUACGGAGAAACAUACUGAAGGAUGACAUUUAGAAAAGCAACACAAUACAUUUAGCUUCAAGGGAACGAGUCAUAAUGGGAACUAAACAAAUCCACACAGACCAGAUAGAGAAGCAUUACGUAUGUAAAUGUUGCAGAAAAAUAAAAUCUUCCACAACACGGAAAAGGCAAAAUAUUAAUUCAAAAAUUAUAAGAAACAUAUCGUAAAACAUUUAACAUAGUGUGCAACAAUAAUGAAAGCCUCAGAGAUCUUGGUGGAUAAUAAUCAUCAGAUGGGCAAUUCCCAUCAAGAGUAGCAAAUAUCUUCUAGCAUCACCGGCUAUCAUUAAGAAUGAAAUAUUUCUCAAAAUAAAUUAAGUACAUAAUUAAUAACAAACAAAUACAUAACAUAGAAUUGAUAGAGGAAAUCAAAAUAAAAAUGGAAAGCAAAGAGUAUGAACAUGAUGUUGUCAGUAGUAGCUGGUUGUUAAAUCACAUAAAAAUAUCAGUGGGAAUCCGUCUGAUUUUAUCAUCAUUCUACAUCAUACAUUCAAUACCCAAAAACAAAUCUAGAAAUAAAAAGUAAAAAACACAAAAAACCAAUAAUUCAGAUUCUUAAAUGGACGAUUCGCAUCACAAAAUAUCUUCUAGCAUCACCAGCUAUCAUUAAGAAUGAAUUAUCUCAAAAUAAUUAGUUAUAUAAAUAACAAAUAAUUAUAUAUAAAUUCAUAGGUAUGACCAAUAGAUAGCAUAAAUCCAGUAAAAAAUACAAAGCAAUGAAUACGAAUAUGAUGUUGUCAGUAGUAGCUGGUUGUUAAAUCACAUAAAAAAAUCAGUGGGAAUCCGUCUGAUUUUAUCAUCAUUCAACAUCAUAUAUUCACGACACAAACGAAUCUAGAAAACCAAUUUCAAAUAAAUAAAAUAACCAAUCAUUCAAAUUCUCAAAAUAAAUUUACCUAUCUUGUCACCGAGAUAUCCUAUCAAGAAAAAAGGAUACUCGGAGCUAAAGAUAGACAACACGUAUAUUAAAGACAUACAUGCUGGUUAAAAUAACGUUAAUAUAGCCUAACGAUAGAUUCAUUGACAUACCAGAUCGACGUACAAAGAAUUGCAAUAUUAGGCAGGAACCUCAAAUUGAAGGGAAUGAAAUUAAAGAAAUAAUUGAAAUAGCGAAAGAAGAUCGCAACCCUAGUUUGUUUGGACUCAGAGAGUUGCUUUCUGUGCUCAAAGACGAAUCCUUUUGCAAAGAUCCAUCUCAUACAAGAGGUGUCAGAAUAUUCAAGCACUCUUCAUCUUCGCCCAACCAAACACCAGCGAGAAACACAACAACAUUAAAAAUUAAGAAUAAGGCAAAAGCUGCAGAAGGAAGGAGAUGCAGUGGAAACUAGGGAGAUUCUUGA